CUUCUCGUGGCGUAGCGGCAACGCGCCUGUCUAGUGAGUAGGAGUCUCGUGAGUUCGAGUCUCACCGAGAGGA
rnacentral:tRNA from 1 species